rnacentral:lncRNA from 1 species
CAAUCGGAUCCUGAAAUGUUCCACAACCCAUUUACUCUGUUGCCACUAUGCCUCUGGCCGCCCAUAUGAUUUGUUUGAAUAUUUGGUUUUCCCUUAAACUUAUUCUUCAUGAACAGAUAAAAUCAGUUAGAUGCCAUUACGUGUAUUGGUUGUCAUCUUUGUCCAGCUCCACAAAUGAAAGAUAUGCUUUAUGAAUGAAAAUUAUGAAUGAAUUGUUAAGCAUGCCUAGAAUUUCUUGAUCCACCCCACUCCAUGAUUCUGUUUUAGAAAUUUAGAGAAGUGUUGGCAACAAGCGUGUGAGGUAGUGGCACUAUCGAUGUCCCUUGCUGGUUGCGUCCCAGCCAUACGGGAGCACACAUAACAGCUGCCCAGGUCAUAGAUCCUAUGAGCAUGAGCCACAACUGUGAGGGGUGCAUGUGCCAGCUGCACAGGUUGUGGGUC